rnacentral:rRNA from 1 species
UUAAGCGACUAAGCGUACACGGUGGAUGCCCUGGCAGUCAGAGGCGAUGAAGGACGUGCUAAUCUGCGAUAAGCGUCGGUAAGGUGAUAUGAACCGUUAUAACCGGCGAUUUCCGAAUGGGGAAACCCAGUGUGAUUCGUCACACUAUCAUUAACUGAAUCCAUAGGUUAAUGAGGCGAACCGGGGGAACUGAAACAUCUAAGUACCCCGAGGAAAAGAAAUCAACCGAGAUUCCCCCAGUAGCGGCGAGCGAACGGGGAGGAGCCCAGAGCCUGAAUCAGUGUGUGUGUUAGUGGAAGCGUCUGGAAAGGCGCGCGAUACAGGGUGACAGCCCCGUACACAAAAAUGCACAUGCUGUGAGCUCGAUGAGUAGGGCGGGACACGUGGUAUCCUGUCUGAAUAUGGGGGGACCAUCCUCCAAGGCUAAAUACUCCUGACUGACCGAUAGUGAACCAGUACCGUGAGGGAAAGGCGAAAAGAACCCCGGCGAGGGGAGUGAAAAAGAACCUGAAACCGUGUACGUACAAGCAGUGGGAGCACAGAGCAAUCUGUGUGACUGCGUACCUUUUGUAUAAUGGGUCAGCGACUUAUAUUCUGUAGCAAGGUUAACCGAAUAGGGGAGCCGAAGGGAAACCGAGUCUUAACUGGGCGUUAAGUUGCAGGGUAUAGACCCGAAACCCGGUGAUCUAGCCAUGGGCAGGUUGAAGGUUGGGUAACACUAACUGGAGGACCGAACCGACUAAUGUUGAAAAAUUAGCGGAUGACUUGUGGCUGGGGGUGAAAGGCCAAUCAAACCGGGAGAUAGCUGGUUCUCCCCGAAAGCUAUUUAGGUAGCGCCUCGUGAAUUCAUCUCCGGGGGUAGAGCACUGUUUCGGCAAGGGGGUCAUCCCGACUUACCAACCCGAUGCAAACUGCGAAUACCGGAGAAUGUUAUCACGGGAGACACACGGCGGGUGCUAACGUCCGUCGUGAAGAGGGAAACAACCCAGACCGCCAGCUAAGGUCCCAAAGUCAUGGUUAAGUGGGAAACGAUGUGGGAAGGCCCAGACAGCCAGGAUGUUGGCUUAGAAGCAGCCAUCAUUUAAAGAAAGCGUAAUAGCUCACUGGUCGAGUCGGCCUGCGCGGAAGAUGUAACGGGGCUAAACCAUGCACCGAAGCUGCGGCAGCGACGCUUAUGCGUUGUUGGGUAGGGGAGCGUUCUGUAAGCCUGUGAAGGUGUACUGUGAGGUAUGCUGGAGGUAUCAGAAGUGCGAAUGCUGACAUAAGUAACGAUAAAGCGGGUGAAAAGCCCGCUCGCCGGAAGACCAAGGGUUCCUGUCCAACGUUAAUCGGGGCAGGGUGAGUCGACCCCUAAGGCGAGGCCGAAAGGCGUAGUCGAUGGGAAACAGGUUAAUAUUCCUGUACUUGGUGUUACUGCGAAGGGGGGACGGAGAAGGCUAUGUUGGCCGGGCGACGGUUGUCCCGGUUUAAGCGUGUAGGCUGGUUUUCCAGGCAAAUCCGGAAAAUCAAGGCUGAGGCGUGAUGACGAGGCACUACGGUGCUGAAGCAACAAAUGCCCUGCUUCCAGGAAAAGCCUCUAAGCAUCAGGUAACAUCAAAUCGUACCCCAAACCGACACAGGUGGUCAGGUAGAGAAUACCAAGGCGCUUGAGAGAACUCGGGUGAAGGAACUAGGCAAAAUGGUGCCGUAACUUCGGGAGAAGGCACGCUGAUAUGUAGGUGAAGUCCCUCGCGGAUGGAGCUGAAAUCAGUCGAAGAUACCAGCUGGCUGCAACUGUUUAUUAAAAACACAGCACUGUGCAAACACGAAAGUGGACGUAUACGGUGUGACGCCUGCCCGGUGCCGGAAGGUUAAUUGAUGGGGUUAGCGCAAGCGAAGCUCUUGAUCGAAGCCCCGGUAAACGGCGGCCGUAACUAUAACGGUCCUAAGGUAGCGAAAUUCCUUGUCGGGUAAGUUCCGACCUGCACGAAUGGCGUAAUGAUGGCCAGGCUGUCUCCACCCGAGACUCAGUGAAAUUGAACUCGCUGUGAAGAUGCAGUGUACCCGCGGCAAGACGGAAAGACCCCGUGAACCUUUACUAUAGCUUGACACUGAACAUUGAGCCUUGAUGUGUAGGAUAGGUGGGAGGCUUUGAAGUGUGGACGCCAGUCUGCAUGGAGCCGACCUUGAAAUACCACCCUUUAAUGUUUGAUGUUCUAACGUUGACCCGUGAUCCGGGUUGCGGACAGUGUCUGGUGGGUAGUUUGACUGGGGCGGUCUCCUCCUAAAGAGUAACGGAGGAGCACGAAGGUUGGCUAAUCCUGGUCGGACAUCAGGAGGUUAGUGCAAUGGCAUAAGCCAGCUUGACUGCGAGCGUGACGGCGCGAGCAGGUGCGAAAGCAGGUCAUAGUGAUCCGGUGGUUCUGAAUGGAAGGGCCAUCGCUCAACGGAUAAAAGGUACUCCGGGGAUAACAGGCUGAUACCGCCCAAGAGUUCAUAUCGACGGCGGUGUUUGGCACCUCGAUGUCGGCUCAUCACAUCCUGGGGCUGAAGUAGGUCCCAAGGGUAUGGCUGUUCGCCAUUUAAAGUGGUACGCGAGCUGGGUUUAGAACGUCGUGAGACAGUUCGGUCCCUAUCUGCCGUGGGCGCUGGAGAACUGAGGGGGGCUGCUCCUAGUACGAGAGGACCGGAGUGGACGCAUCACUGGUGUUCGGGUUGUCAUGCCAAUGGCACUGCCCGGUAGCUAAAUGCGGAAGAGAUAAGUGCUGAAAGCAUCUAAGCACGAAACUUGCCCCGAGAUGAGUUCUCCCUGACUCCUUGAGAGUCCUGAAGGAACGUUGAAGACGACGACGUUGAUAGGCCGGGUGUGUAAGCGCAGCGAUGCGUUGAGCUAACCGGUACUAAUGAACCGUGAGGCUUAACCUU